GCAAUGAUUUUUCAGCGGGACAAGGUCUUGGGACAAGCUCCUCUUGACAUGUAAUCAAUUGUUCACUGACUGGAGUAUCAGACAAGUGACUCUGCUCGGGACUAGCAGUCAGAAGAUGGAUGGAGUGUAAGACUUCAAAGAAGCAUGGAAACACAUCACCCAUGUCUAGACCUUUGCAAAUCUUUUAUGUCUGCGGCCCUGAUGCAGCGUUAGAACACCUGGAUGACAAGAAGCACCUGUCCCAAAACUUUAGAAGAACACAAUAGACCACAGAAGAAGUAACACCACACAGGGGGAAGAAGACAAAGAAGUCACUCAGCAUGGGGUGAACAUGUGAACUCCUCACACACACAGUGCCGACACGAUUUUAUGCCCCAAUCCUGGAGAUGUGAGGACCGCUCUGCCGUGAAAU